rnacentral:rRNA from 1 species
UACGUAGGGGGCAAGCGUUGUCCGGAAUCAUUGGGCGUAAAGCGCGUGUAGGCGGCCUUGUAAGUCCGUUCUGAAAGCCCGGGGCUCAACCCCGGAAUUGCCUUUAAGACUGCAUCGCUUGAAUCCGGGAGAGGUGAGUGGAAUUCCGGAGUGUAGAGGUGAAAUUCGUAGAUAUUCGGAAGAACACCAGUGGCGAAGGCGGCUCACUGGACCGGCAUUGACGCUGAGGUGCGAAAGCGUGGGGAGCAAACAGG